rnacentral:lncRNA from 1 species
UCCUGUUCCAUGUUUAUAUUUUCCUAAUUAUUGUCAUACAACUCAUAAAUUAGCAUGAUAUUCCCUCGUAAGCAUGGAGCAAAUGUUCAUAAAUAUUUGUUUUAUAAUUUGAAAUUUAUAAAAAUAUAUUACUCAUUAAUUUUAUUUUUAUAAAAUAAAUUAUUUGUUUUAGAAUGAUAUGUAAAGUUAGAUUUUUUAUUUUUUCUUGAGAUUUUGCUUUUAGUUGAUUUUGUUGUUGAAUAAAGGAGUUUAUAUAUAUAUAUAUAUAUAUAUAUAUAUAUAUAUAUAUAUAUAUAUAUAUAUAUAUAUAUAUAUAUUAUUUUUUGAGGUAAGUUGGAAUAAGGAGGGUGAUAAGAUCGCUGCCUGUUUAGCCAAUAAUACAGUUUGUGUUUUGGAUUUCUGAAUGUAAGAUCCUGAGAAGCACCACUUUUGAUAAGAUCGGUGGAAGUGUAUUUCCCCUAUUUUGGUUGGAUAGGUUUCCCAUGGUUCUUGGAUCCUGCUGUGAUUUCUUGCUAUGAAUCAUUAGUAAGAGGUAGCUUGCAGGAGUAUAUUCUUGAUUAAAACAAUGUAUAGAUUUAGUUGUACUACAUCGUUAAAAACCAUACUACCGGCAACAUCCUCUGCCAGCUGCUUGGUUGUACCUGGGUAUUCUCUCUAUUAUUGACUACGAAGGUGUCCAAAUAACUUUUUACAUGGUUUAUUUGAGUUUAUCUUGUUACAUAAUUAUUUAAAUUAACAUUUUGAAGUGUUUAGUUAAACAUUAGAAAGGAGCUUAUGACUUUCGUAUUAUCUCUUUUGUUAAUAAAUUUCAUGGUGAAAUUUAUCUAAAAAAGUUUAUAAAGUUAAGUUUUUUUGACAAGUUAUUAUAUGAUAAAAUAUUAUUGAUUAAAUGUUAAGUUGUUUAAUUAUGUACUCCCUAUCUUAUUUUGUAAUGCAGUCAAUGCUAUUCAGCCUUUGGCGAAAAGCAUUGAGUGUAACACUUAACACAUCUUUCAUAUUAGCUGAAAUUAAUUUGGAAAUGAGACUUAGCAAACGGCCGGAGGAUGAGAUUCACAUAAUUCAUAGAAUUUAGACGAAUUUUAUCUAAUAAAAAAUGAUGUGAGUCGUGAGUGUCAAAAUUUCAUAUAAUAUAAGAUGUAAAUUGUGAUGUAAAAUAUAAGUAAAUAACUACUAUUACAUUACGUAGUUUUGAAAGUUAAGAUUGUGAAAUGGUUUAUUUACAUCAUUGAGAUAAUAAUAAUGUCUGAAGUAUUUAAUAUUUACCCCUAUUGUGUUAUAUAUUCAAAAAUAAUGAAAACAUUUUAGUGCGUUUCAUUAGGAGACAAAUCAAAGACGUUUAUUUCUCAGUAAGUAAGAGUGUCUAGAUUUUUUACUAGUCAUGUUUGAGUGCAUCUUAUUAUUGAUCUUAUUUUAGGUAAAAUGAUAUGAGAUUAUUUUCUCUAAAAAAAAUAAUGAAAACGUUCAACAUAAAACUGGAUUAAUUACCACAAAUCUUGUAAUUUAAUCGAUGAUUGUUUCACAGAAAUCUUCCAUAACUUUCGAAACUUAACUCUACCAUUGCUAAUAUCGUUUCAUAUCAUUGAGCAAAAUCCAUAGCAAGCAAGAAAAAAGUGAGCAAGACUAGGUUCAAACAAGUUGUCUCCCACAUUCUUUUGGGCAUGGCUGCUGCAAUGAAGAAAUACCACUUUGUUAUACUCUUAAAGGAUGGGGAAGAUCUUCAAACUACACAAAAAACUUGAAAUGUGACUCACUAUUGAUCCAGGAAUUCCUCCCACAGCAGAUUCUUGGGUAAAUGCAUUGGGCUUCAAUUUUUCCAGGGAAAGAUUUGCAUACAAGACCAGGGGUUAAUUUUGGAAAUGGAUUGUUUACGAUUUGAUUAAACAUGAUUUGCAUGAUCAGCGAAUAGAUAGAUUAACUUAUUUUUAAAUUUCUGAUUUCUGUUUACUCUCAAAUCAGCAGUUAUUACAAUUUGGUUAUGCACGAUCUACGAAUAAAUAGAUCAAUUUGAUUUUUAAACUUGAUAUUUCUCUUAACCCAAAAGUUGUUAAGCCUUGCUGCUAAUAGAGCAUAUAUGCUUGUCAACAUGUCAAGCUAUCGCUGGCCGGGACUUCAGCCGACCUGGUAGACCCGGACCAGGUAAUAAUUUCUCAAAUAGAAGGGUGUGAAGAAGGGGAGUCUCGGAGUGAAUAAAAUAAAAUAAAAAUCUGAGGGGUACUUUAGGAAUUUAGCUUUAUUAUAAAUUUAAAGGAGUGGUAAGCUGAGAUAUGUGGGUUGCAUAAAGAAAGGCCCUCUACUUAAACACAUGGUGUCCAAAAGGGCCUUUGCACAAUCUCUGGGCCAGAGUCCAAUCCAAUGUGGGCUGGGUGCUCUGACAAGUGACAACAACCAUACUAGGUUUAGCUUCUUCGUCACACGCUGCCUAAACCCCUAAUUGGUGGGUUCCAUCUGUGCGCAGAGCAAAACCAAAAACAUGGCGUGGCGCUGCGGAUCUCUCUCUCGGUCGGUGCUCUCGGCCGCGAGAACCAUUCCAACUCGUUCCUCCAUUUCUCCACUCUCGCCUUCCCUUCGCUCUCAUCUUCUCCACUCUCGCCGCCCCCUCAAUACACUCCCUAGGUAAGGUAACUUGUGUUUAUUUAUUCCCUUUCUUACCUAUUUUUCAUAAUCAUUCAUUUUUUUAUUAUCUAAAUCUAUUUUUUUUUCUCUCACAAGGACUGUGGGAAUUCUCGUGUGCACGCAUUCGCUGAUGCCUCUGCACAGCGCUGACGCCUCCGCUCGUCUCACUUCUCACAUUUCCGUCGAAUCGCGCGCUUGCUGCGAAUUGUCUCAGGGUACUCAAAUUCCUAUUUCUUACACUUAAUGUGGCAUUCUUUCUGUCAUUAUUAUGAUGUGUUUUCAUUGUUAUAUUUAUUUAAAUGUUUUUGUGUGUUCAACAGGUACUUGAAUAGACUUUACAAUCAGCAUCAGUUGUGAUUACGUUUGGCAUGAUGUGAAAAUGGUGGCUAAUGCUUUGUAGCAGGAGGCUUGUGGAGGUUUGGUAGUGCAUUUGAGAAAGAUAAAUAUUAUAAGCAGUUGUGAUUAUAAGUGUUUUUAUCUUUUUUAUAAAAGAUAAACAAGUAUAUCUAUUCUUCUUCUGUUAGAAUCUUUUCAGGCUAAUUGAACGUCAUCAACAUUGUUUUUCUUUGUAUCAGAUAAUAAUAGCAGUGUUCAAGACUUAAAGUUAUGUUGAAAUUAAGUGUUGUAUAGGUGUUAGCUGGUAGCAUGGAUGCUCUUUUGUUCAAGUAGUUUAAUUGCACUGGUUUUGUUUUGUUCUUGCAUAAAAUUAGACUGUUUUAUAAUGCUAGUUGAAUCAGUGUUUCUGCUUAAUAUUAUGAGGUUGUCUCCUACUUAAAAAUCCAUUCUACGUUAAUAGUAUAAUAGUGUUAUACCCAACCAUAUAUCUUGGGACCCUAUGCAGCAUGGUUAGUGGAGGUUGCAUCUGUACUGUAACCUCUUGGUUUAUCCAAGCAGGAGUUAAUUCAAUGCAUUUUUAACUACUACAGUUUUGCUUCCUUUUCUGCAAUACCCAGUUCCAAUUAUGAUAUUGAGUUGAUGAUAGGACUAAUCUCAAUUUCUCAAUUUGUGCAUUGAGCGAUUACGUAGUUACUAGUUAAAGACAUAUUUGGGUUGGGUUUCUCUAAAUGAUUACAAUUAGAGACAAUUUCUGAACACCUAGUUUUCGGUAAUUUCGUUGCUUUCUAUAAAUGACUGCAUUGUUAUUAGUUAGAGGCAUUUUUGGUUUAGGUAGCGGUGCUCCCUCAACUUAUUGGUGACACUGUCAAUUUAGUCUUAUCUUUUAUUAAAGUUGAUUGGUGUCAUGAGUGACAUUAAUCGAAUACUAGCGAUAUGGAUAAGGCAUAGGUCACGAGAGAAUAAAAACUCGUGUUAUUUAACUGCAGUCUCUAACAGGUACAACAAAAUUUGAUGUAGCUUCACUUAAGCUUGCCAUAUAUCUUUGAGCACGAGUGUUAGGACCAACCAUGUUUUUGUACUGCUACCUUAGAGAACAGUGCACUAGCAUGUAGCUAGAGCUGUUGAAAAAAUUAUGAAUUGAACCACACUGUAAACUGUACCACAGUCGGAGCCCAAAAUGCCAAACCUAAACAAAGAGCCUUUUUCAGUGCAUCUCCUAUAAAACAGUUCACCAACCUGAACCAGUUCUUUAUAAUUUGGUGCACGUAUUCUACCUGAACCUUUUAAUGCAAACAGAAAACACUGCAGUUCACAAAUUAAAACUCAAAAAACACUGCAGCUCACAAAUUAAAACUCAAAAUCCAUUUCUAUUUGGUGUGUCAUUGCGGUUUGCCGGAGCAGCAGUUGUGUAAAGAAUUGGAAUACAGAAGCCAAGCAUUACUCAUUAGGGGAGAUCAGAGAGUAUAGUCAGGGAUUCCAUGGAUAAGUAAAUUGCCACAACAAAUGUCAUUGUCGACUGUCAGAGUAAUUGAGGUGGUGGAUGAGGUCUUGGUGGUGUUGGCAGAGUGGUUGCCUACUCAUUAGGUGGUUUGAGUUAUGAUUGCACAAGAACAAUUGAGAACCUUGAGAUAGAUGUGCCUCAUCCUUACUGCCUUGAGCACAUCCUCAAAGAAAUCUGUCACCUGCUAUUGUAAUUUGUUGCUAUUCAAAUAGUAGGGUUGGGUUCAAACUCAAAUUCAAUGGUAGUUCACAAUUCAAUAUAGGUUUGUAAAAUUUAGUGCGCCGAAACAAAUAAUCAGUUUUGUUUGGUUUUGCCAAAGUAAAGAGGUUGAAUCGUAUUUUCGGUUCAAUUUAGUAUGGCGCAGACGGCGUGCAGUUUCCAGUGGAGUUAAAUGUAUGAGUAAAAUUUUUGAGGGGCCCAUUCUUUAUUAACAUCUUAUUAACAUAACCAGUCCUAUGUUAGUAAUAAAUAUUGAAUAAAAAGUAGGAUUCACAAAAUUGUUUUUUUUUUUAUAAAUUUUUGUCAGUACUGUAUAUUAAAAAGUCUUUAAAAGUAUGUAUUGACAUUUUUCAAUUUUUAAAGGGAGAGCCACACAAAUAAAAAUCCAAGCCAGUUUUAACUUGAAAAUCAGUGAACUGUGAAGGUGUUUGGUCCAUUUAGCUCCGAAAAAUUGGCUAAUCACAAAAUUGGUGGAUAACCUAUCGAAAACCAGUAUGAACAGUUAUUUUGUUCAAUCAUGUAGGAAUACUAGUUUUUGUAAUGUGGUUUUUCGGUUUUUCCCCCUCAAAUCUUUUGAAAACUAGUUUUGGUAUUGUAAAAAUGCGGGUGUAAAUUUUUACAAUAUGGAAACUAGUCCCUGUAAAUUCCUACAUUUUUUUUCUCAUUCUUUUCUCACCUCUUUUUUCCCCUUUUCUUCGCCUUACCCCACCACCCACUGCUUUCCUCAUUUUGUUUUUCUCUUUCUCCCUCUUCACCAUAUUUCCAAUUCUCUUGCUCGCUCUUCCUCCAUCACUGGAGUGUCCACAUAUGGCCUUGUGCAGCUGUUGUGCUGCCCCCAUUCACUUUAAUUUUUUUCAUUUAUGUGCGACAUAACAAGGUUCGCGGGGAUGGUGAAUCUUCAGAUGAUGGAUGGUACGAUGGUGGAGAGAAGGGUAUUUUAGGUAUUUAAAAAUGUCUAGAAAAUUGGGGGAUGUCAGGGGUAAAAAAAAGGAGGUGUAAAUAGCAAUCCCUUUAGCUCGUCAUCGUUGCUUGCACAUGUAGGCUUACAGUUAGUCCUGAUAACUUGUUAGGUUGGCCGACAGGUUUGAAUCUUUGAAGUUGGAAGUUUGAACAAAUUAUGGAAUAGGAUGUCAUUUUUGUUCUUUUGGAAUCUUUUAAAAAUGUGAUUCGGACAAAAGUUUCUAACAAUAAACUUUUCCCCAAACUGUGAACUUUUCAAAAUGGAAAUCAAUGCCUUGUAAAAAAUAGUUAUUUAAAUUCUUUGUCGUGUUUUUAAUUAAGGAUUUAGAUUUUACUUGACCAAUUCACUAUUUUUUAUGAAAUCAUCUGAACCAUACAAUACAAGGGAAAAAAAUGCAAGUUAAAUACACUAGCAUUAGUAUACAGUCCAAUUUUUCCAAGAGGGAUUUUACGAGGCUCUGAAAUCUCAAGCAAUGUAAUAUAAAAUACGUUUAAUUCAUAAAAUAUCGACAGCAAAAGUUAGAAUUUAGUUACUACUUUGAUGCACAAGUGAUUCCUUGGCAAUGUCUUUGCACUAUAAUGUAAGGAUGUAAUUAAUUAAGUUGAUAAAAAAUAGAAAUAUAAAAAAUUGAAAAAAAAACUAUUUUUAUUCGGCCUCCAUUGGAUUCCAGAUUCCUUAUGCCUUUUUCACAUAAUACAAUCCUGCCUGUUGGACCCGUAGACGGAAUUGUUUUCCUCUCUCUAUCUCUGCUACAGUAUUUUUUUAUGGACCAAUACACUUUUCUCUUUAACUAAUUAGUUUCAGUUGAUUAAGUAAAAUAUAUAAAUUAUUAUAAAUUCAUUCUACAUGUCUUUGAAUUUAGGGACAAAUAAAAAUUUAUUUUCCUACUGUCUAAACACAUCGUGAGUUAUACGAAAAUGUUUUUGUAUUAGAUAACAAUGAUGUUUUGUUUUAUUAUACAAGCCCACAAUACUUGGAUUGGCAUAUGCUGUAAAGAUUUUUAAUUUUUAAUGGCGUCUAAUCAUUGAUUUUUUUUAUAAUUAUUUUUUAAAAUUGUGAUUCCGGAUAAGCUCGUGUCCAAUUCACCUAAGAUUUCGAAAGCGCCCCCUUUAAUUGCAUUGCAUUGUAAAAUAAAGUAUAAAACUUGUACUUAAUUUAAAUGAAAGAGACAAUCGUAUUAAUUAUAUCCCCAUAUAGGACGUGCUUUCUAUAUAUUCAUGGCUUAUAUUCCUUUCAUUGUUUCCGACAAAAAUUGACAAUUGUUGGAGAGAAAAUUAAUGUGGACAAAUUAAAUGCCGCAGUAAAUCUUAGGGGCUAACAAGAAUAUUCAUCCCUAACCUAUAUGUGAAUAUUGAAAUAUAACUUGUCUUUGAAAGCCAAUAAUUUGUGAAGUGAUAAAAUAGAAUAGAGAGAUAUUUGUUGUUGAAAUGUAAUAAUAAAUUUCAGCUCUCUGGCUUUGAUCUCUAUUUAAUUAUGAAAAACUAGAAUUAAUAUUCAACUUUCAGAAAUCAUGACACAAAUAUUAAGCAAUACCUAUAGAUGAGGCAAGUGAAAUCUCACACAGUCACGGGAAUAACCAGCCUAUAAUUCCGGUGUGUGUAUUGUGCUGCAUGUGAAACAUUUAAAGAUAUGAUUGUUUGAAAGUUGAGUGGAAUUAAAUCAAUUUCAAUUAAUUUUAAAUUAAUAAUUAAACGUAAUUCAAAUGUGAAUUUAAAUCAAUUUUAACGAUAAAUUUUAUGCUAAAAACUAUUAAUUAUAAUAUAUAUAUAUAUAUAUAUAUAUAUAUAUAUAUAUAUAUAAAUUAUAGGAGAUGAUGUCAUCUCAUAACUUUAUAUUCAUUUUUAUAAAAAAAUAUUAAAUAAAAUUAUUUUAUUUUGAUUCAAACAAAUAUGAUUAAAAAUUAAAUACAAUCAAUUAACAUUAAUAUACUAGAUUUAUGCUAAUAAAUUUAUUAAUCAAUAGAUUUAUUCUACAUGUAACUUCCCUCUCUCUCUCUCUCUUAUUUUUUUUAGUUUUAUUCACAUUUUAUAAAAAAUUAUCCAUAAAAAAUUUAGUAAAAUUAUAUAAUCAAUAUUUAUUGUAAUUAAAUAUGCAUCUUAAAUGUUAAAUUUUCAUAACUUUUAAAAUUCCUUAUUAUAAUAAAUUAAAAUCUCAAUAGAAUAAUAUCACUAUCAAUUUAAUAUAUAAUAUUUUCUAAUGUUUUUAUUUAUGCUCAAUCAUUUAAUUAAAAAAUUUAGAAAAUAUAUUUUAUCAUUUAGUUAAAAAUACUAUGAAUAAUAAAUAUAUAGUAAAUUGUUUAAUAUUUAGUUAAAAAUAGUAUGCACAACUGCGAACAACAAAGAAAUUCAUAUCCACGUAUAUUUGCAGAUAAAAUUUACAAUAUAUCUUUAGUGGGUACUCCUAAAUAAUGGGUAAAGUCGUGCAUGUAUUUUCACUACCUAUGGAUACGAAGGUGAAAAUCACGAUACUUGUACCUAUGAAUACGUACUACCUAUUAAUAUUAAAAUAUUCUUUUUUUACUAAACUUAAAUACGUAAAUAUUUUUUAUAAAUAUUUUCUUAUUUGUACAGUAUAAUUUUAUUUAGACUUAUAUUUUAGUGUAUUUUUACUUGAAUUUAUAUGUUAGUGUAGACCCUAUAAUAUUUGAAUAAUUUUAGUUGUAACAACUAAAAUUAUUUUUUGAAGAAAAUAUUAAAAUAGAUAAAAAAAUUAUAAUAAAAAUGUUUGUUAAAAUAUUUUUAAAUUAUUUUUUUUGUAUUUUUGCAAAAAUAUCCAUGAAUACCUUCGAAUAUCCCGAAUAUUAAAAAAAAUCCAUAACGGGCACCAUGCAAGUAACGAGAAAACACAUGGUGAAUAUUUAUUUAUUGAGGCGGAUAAAGGAUGACUACUACUUUCGUCUGUCUCACCCAUUUUCAUCUCUAUGCAUAAUUUCAUAUGCAUUUUUUUUUUCAAUAAAACACUUACAAUUUAAAACUAUUUGAAUAUAUAUUAAAUUGGUACCUUCCCAUAGCUAUGUCACACAUAAUGUAUAUAUACAAGGAAGAAUAAUUGUUUCUAUUUGUACUCAGCUUUUUGUUUAGUUCGGGCACCUCUUGUGCUUUGAACUACAUUUCAACUGUCUUUUUUUUAAAAAAGAAGAAGAAGAAGAAUCAUUGUUUAAAAAACAUUUUUUCCUCGUUUAUUACAUAUAUUAAAGUUUAACUUAGGCUAGCAGAUCGACUCUCCUUUACCACGUCCACGACCCAAUACAAUGUAUAUAUACUACAUUUUGAUUCAACACACCAAAGUUGUGAAAAGCCAAUUCUUAGUACUAACAGACAAAAAUUACUGAUGCAAUAAUCCCUGUAUCUUUUCUGUCACUAUUCUUAAUGAUAAAGUUAAUAAUGCCCCCAUCAUCAUCACGCGUGACAUUUGUCCUUGACUCUGUUUUCGCCAAGUUGUUUACUUCACUAAUUCAAAACCCUAGUCUUUUAACCUAGACGCGAGGUUUCGAAGAUUGACAGAUUUGGCAAAACAUACAUUAGUUGUCACGGACAUAAAGAUGGGUUGUUGGUUCUCACUCUCACUACUUUAACGCCGGAACACCCCCCACUAUCAUAUUUACCAUGUACUGUUUUACGCGGAAUCCAUCAACUUGGCCCAUUACAUGCCCAAAGGCACAAUUUUAGAAGAAAAUAUAUGAAUGAUAUUAUAUCACAUAUUUAUUUUGCCUUCUCAUCAUGUAAAAGUCCUUUACUAAUGAAUGGUUUAAACCUUAAACAACUAGGUCAAAUUUUCUAUAUUGCACAUUUAAUAGUGAUUCAUAUAUUUUUGAACUUAUUUACGUUGUUUCUUUGUUUCUAAACUUAUUUAAUUAUACGCUUUCAUUUGUUCAUCAAUCUCAAUGCAUGUGAGGCUUCUGCUUUUUGGUAAUGGCAAGUGCUGACCUUCCACGCACUUGCUUUGCUAUAUACGCUGAAGCCAUUAUGCAGCAAGAGCUAAAUAUUGUGCCAUUUUUAUUAAUUACAUAUUUGCAUGAGAAAGUCACAUCAUUGAAUAUUUGUGUGUGUGCGCGCGUGUGUAGCCACAUCAGAUUCGCUUCCAAAAUUUCAAGACUGAACUAGAAACGUGUGUGGAACAACGGUGAAUGAAUGUGUGUGAGUGAAGUUUGAAUGGUCUAGCGUAACAACUCAUCAUUUGUCAAAGAGAGACACAAUGAUGGUUAUGGAAAUGGUCGUGUGGAAGAACUGGUCCAAUUAAUAUAUUUUAUGACAGAAGUUUAUUCAAACUAGGUUUCUUGACGGCACCACACUCUGUACUCUGUAGUACUACGUAAUUAAUGUUUCACGUAAGAAAUCCAGUCAACAAUAUUCUAGAGCCAGUUGGGUUUGACCAUUUUUUUUUAUAUAUUUAAGAAACUAUGUUUCUUUUGUUGCUCAAAGGGAAGUUAAGUCCGGUUAAUGUUAUGUAAUUGUACGACAAGAGGUUUCCCAGGGUGGAAACUUGGUAGGAUUAACUAAUUAAUUAUUUAUUAAUUCUUAGUUGUUUAUAGCUGAUUUUUUUGAAGCAUGGGGUGGUUGCUGCACCUUGCACGGUUGCAACUCAAAUUAUUUGCUGCCCUCAAAAUAUCUCCGAUUGCGACUGCGGACCAUGACAUGUGGUUAUGCUAAUGAGAAUGAUCACUUUAUGUUCAGUGUUAUACUAAGAAGAGACUUUCCAAAUCAACGUUAAUUAGAAAUUGCAGCAGAAAAGGGAUUCAAAAUUGGCGCAUGCAUGGUAUCUUAUCCUGCCCAUACCUUUCCUCUUUAUUUCACUUAGAUCGUAAUGUUAUUGUUAUACACUUCGAAAUCUUUCCGCGAAGUUUCCCACAGACUAGGUGGAAGUGAGUAAAUUAUUGGUUCAAAGCUUCUGUCGGUGGCUUACUGAGAGUAAUAAGGGGUAGGAUAAGAUGUUGGUGAAGGAAGAGUAACCGGUAUUUCCCAUUCUGAGUGCAAGCAUUCAAACAUGUACGAAUUGCAAAGUUGUUGUGCGGUCAUGACCAAGAAAUUUUCUUUCUAUUAAUGCCUAAUCAUUAUGACAUGCGUGCACUUGGAGAUUAUUUUGAUCAGAAAAUGUAGGGCAUUGUUCACUCAUAAAAACAUGAGAAAUAAAUAAUAAUGUUUGGAAUAAAUGUACUGAUAAUAUCCUUAAAAACUUGAACAUCAUAUAGUUUGAAAAGGCCCAUGAUCUAUUCCAAAAAGGCAAAUUAAAAAGCCAAAGAAAGGUACAAUAUUUCAUUCUAAUUAGCUAGGACAGUACUUUUUUAAUUUUAAUAAGUGAUUCUCUGGUUUGAUUUUUUUUUUACAAACAUUUUUUUUAAAAAAAUUGUUAGUUUUAACUUAUGAAAAAGUAUUAAAAUAGUUUUUUUAAUUUUUUUAACAAAUGUUUUCCUAAUUAUAUUUUAAAUAUUAUUUUUAAUUAAAAUGUACUUUUCUACAAAAAGAAUAACUCAAACAAACGGCUCUUAAUCUCCAGGAACUUAGCAUAGAAUGUUGGUAAUCUUGUCAUGGUGGCGAGUGGCGACCCUGUUUGUGCAGAGUGCAGAGGCAGCUAGCUUUUAAUUAGUUUUAACAAUAAAAAUGGGAUAUUGCAUUGCUUCGUGUAAUGCCGCAGUGCCAGUACGAGAAUACACGGCGUAGCUGUCUUCACAGCAGUGUCCACUGUAUGUCUUUGGAAGUUUAGCUUGCUAGAAAACCAUCUCAGUAAAUAUAACUAACAAGCAUGAGUUUAUUAUAAUACAGUGAUAAAUAGUUAUUAUAUUAUCAUGAGCCAGUUUAUUACAACUAAAAAAGUGAGUAUGGUGUAAAAUAAUCUAGUUAUUAUUUUAAAGACUUUUAAAAAAAAAAAUAAGCAUAAGGUACUUUAUGUUUAUUUUACAGUCGUUAAAAUCACCUUUAGAAAAACAACUGACUUUUUUGAAGAGUUAUUCAAAAUAAAUUUUAAUUUUAAUCAUAUUUUAGAUUCUUUUAGUUUUAAAUUGUUUGAAAAGAUUAAAAAAAAUCAGAGAAAAGUAAAAAAGAAAUUUUGUUUUUAAUAAGUGAUUAUUUUAAAAAAGAUUAUAACAAACAGUUCAUAUACAUAUGUGUGUGUGAAAUGAUAUAAUUUUAGUCUUAUUUUGGCUCUAAAUUCGUGUCUUUGAGCUAACAAUAUGAAUAUAGUCAUUUGCGAAUUUUUGAAUCGAAUUAUAUUUGAGCUAAAAAAUAAAUUCAUGUGAAGAUCAAGUCAAGUAUCAAGCUAGCGGAAUCAGUUAUUACUAUUAAGUUAGGUCGAGCUAAGCUAGGUUAGACUGGGUUCGUUUUCAACUCUAAUUACAUAUGAUAUAAUGACUCCACCCUUAACAUAAAAAGUAAGUAUUAUCAUUUCACUUUUGUAAACUCCGAUACAUUAUUGGCUGGUUGUAAAAUUUCAAAAUAAGAUAGCUAGCAAUGAUUUUUAGUAGAAGUGUAAUAGUUCGAAUUAUUUUUUAAAGCUAACGAAAUAAAUUAAAAUUUAAAAAUGUAUUUAAUUACUCAAAUGAGUCAACAUCGCAUUUUAUAGGUUAGAAAAUAAUAAAUUGUGAAUAUUUUGUAUGUGUAUUGCCUAAGUAUCUAUAAGUGUUUGUUUGAUUCACUGAAUUUAGCAUAUAAUUAGGAAUUGAAAUUUACAAAUAUUGCACGCAUUUAACAAUGAUACACUUUAGAAAAAAAACUACAGUAAUUUUUAUCAUUAAAGAUACUUAGGCAUUUUUACUUCAUUUUCUAACAUGAAAGUGCAUGCUAAAUAUUACAUUAACAAACAAACUUUUUUUUUAAAAUGAUAAAAAAAGUAAUUAUUUAUAACUCAAUUAUGAGAUGAGUUAUAUAUUUUAUUAAGAUAAGUUCAAACAAAAUUUUUAAAUACAAGUUCAAACAAAGGUUAGGUGAAUGGUUUGGAUUAUUUCCCUUUUCCAAUAUCAUGACUUAUGAUGACGUUGUUCUCUUCGCCAUCUUUGAGGAAUCAUUAAUUAAUUAUCAUAGUAUUAUAUAUUAUAUAUUACUUAUAAGGUAUAAUGACGAUCGAUGGAUUAUAAAAUGAAGGCAAUCUAAAUAUUGUUUACGUCGUUAUCGAAAGAAUCCUAAGAAACUUUUGUGAAACCAUACUAACACCUAGAGUCUAAAUAAACCUCAAUGGAGUCCAAAACUUUAAGUUUAAUUUUAAUCUACAAAUAAAAAAAUUGUUCAAACCUUGUGUAUUAACCACAUACACCUCUAAAAACAACCAUAUACACAAAGUCCCUUUGGGGCCACUUGAAACAAUAAAAAAAAUAUUUUAAAAAAAUAUGAAAUUAGGAAUGUUUGGUUUAUUAUUUAAAAAUAACAUUUUCAAGAAAUAAUAUUUUUUUAAAAUGUUUUUAUAUUUGAUUCUUACGGAAUGGUUCUCGUGGAGGGCAUAAAAAUAUAAUUUUUUCGAGUUAGAAAAAAGGUUUAUUACAAUAAAAAUGUGGUGUUCACUCUUAUUAAAUUAUUUAUUAUGAUAAAUUAUUAAUUUUUUGGGAAAUUCCAAUUAAAUUAAAGGUAAAAAAUUUCGAUUUAAUUUUCAAUAAUAUAUAAAUAUUUUUAAAAACAGUUAUGAUCAAUGAAAUUGAUUUUAGUAAUUAAUAAGAAUUAUAUUCAUAUGAUUGAUAAUUUUCAAGGACAUAAAAAAUUUCCAUACUACUUAAUGGACCCUAAAAGUAAAUUAGUAAAAUAAAAAAUAGCAUGAACAUGUUUAAUUUUUUAAACAAGAAUGUAAGUAUAAGUAACACAAAUCUUUAGAGAAAUUAAUGUAAUUAUCCCUUGCCAAUAGUUUCCAUUAUUUUGGAUUUUUGGUGUAUUUGUGAUGAUCUCUUCAUCUAUCAUACAGAUCAUUUGACUUUUUAAUAAAUAUAUUUUGAUGUCAACUGAAUUUUGUUGAAGUGACAAUAUUUAAUCAUAGUCAAAGUAUGAACCAUGCGGUCUUUCAUUAGAACUUUAUGGUAUCAUAAAUGAAAAUAUUCCUCCAUAUCUAGCAUAUACUUUUCCAGAUAAAAAAAUUACUUCCCAACUUAAUCUUUCAACACAAUCCAAAUUUGUGUCCUUCAUAAAAUAAAAAGAAACUUAAUCGUUUAAUUUUGCUGCAUAAAUAAAAAUAGUAUAAUUUUAUCAUAAUAAUUUAGACACUAAUAUGAUUUUAAGUAAAUUGUUUAUCCAUGUGAAUUAAGUGAGAGAUUCCCUACUUUCUUUUAUAUAUAGUUUAAAGUUAUAUAUCAUGUUGGAUAAACUACAUCUUUGGUUGCUUCAUGCAAACUUCGGGUGAUCAAAUUAAUUAUAUAUAUAGUUCAUGUAUGAUAACACAAUUAUAUGAUAUUUGUUUUCGUGAUUUCAUAAUGGUGGAUUCCUAACGAGGAGAAAAAUUAUGUCUGCUUCAUGCAAAUUUUAGGUGACCAAAUUAAUUACAUAAUUCAUGUAUGAUAUAUAACACAAUUGGGUGGUAUUUGUCCCCGUGAUUGAUCGUAAUGAUGGAUUCUUAAUGGGAGCAAAAAUCAUGAUUCCUACGUGUAAAUUUCAGGUGACCAAAUUAAUUACACAAUUUGAUGAUAUUUACUAUUCUUAAUGGGGACAAAAAUGGUUUAUUACUGCUCUUAAUUAUAAGUUUUGGGUUGUCUCUUACUGAAGCAAAUGGGCUACAAGAGGGUUUAAGGCCGGCGGCCCCAUCGCUUUCGGAGGCCAACAAACCCUGCAAGGAAAUGGCCGCGUGGUUUGGCUGACGCGUAGGCUCGUCCAAUUUUAUGCUGACGUGGCGAUAAAUUGGGCCCCAGCUGUCGGCCAUGAGGCCCUAUCCUUACGUGUUCCCUGGCCCACAUGUCCUCCCAGCCAAGUCUACAACAGAAGUUGUUUUAAUCUUUUGUCCCCUCAGGGUCCUUCUAAAACAAAACUACUAUUUGCUCCUCCUUGUCAACGUGGCUACCCAUGACAUGCACAAACCCUUUUGCCGCUAUAAAUAGUACCCAGGGCCCCUCCCUCUCUCAUUUCCCUUCAUUCUCUCUAUCUUAAUUCUUCCCUCUCUUAUCAUGGCUCUUCAGUUCAUCGAGCAAGUUACCAAAAACACUGACUCCGUCCAGGAGAGAGUCCUUUCCGAGAUUCUCACCCAAAACGCCGAGACAGAAUACCUCAAACGCUUCGCUCUCAACGGUGCCACCGACCGUGACACUUUCAAGUCCAAGGUUCCCGUCGUCACUUACGAGGAUCUGCAACCUGAUAUUGAGCGCAUUGCAAAUGGUGACCGCUCUCCCAUCUUGUGCGCUCACCCAAUCUCCGAGUUUCUCACCAGGUACGAUUUCUUAAUAUUUCAGGCGUAUAGUAUGAAUGAAUGUCCUUUGUAUUUUACUGAUCGUGCUUGAAUGAAUGAAUUAAAAUUACAGUUCUGGAACAUCUGCUGGCGAGAGAAAGUUGAUGCCAACAAUUCAUGAAGAGAUGGACCGUCGUCAGUUACUGUACAGCCUGCUCAUGCCUGUGAUGAACCAGUAUGUUAGCUUCUUCUUCUUUUUUUCUUUCAUUAACUGAUACUAAGUGACGUAUUAGUUGAUGGCAAUUAUGGUGGUAGUAACUUUGAAGUUAUGAAUUUUGUUUGUUUCCUCCUCCGAUUGCGCAGAUACGUGUCCGAUUUGGACAAAGGCAAGGCGCUUCACUUCCUGUUCAUUAAGGCAGAGGCCAAGACACCCGGCGGGUUAAUGGCGCGUCCGGUGCUGACGAGCUACUACAAGAGCGAGCAAUUCAGGAAAAGACCAUUCGACCCUUACAACGUCCUCACAAGCCCCAACGAAGCCAUCCUUUGCCCUGAUUCCUUCCAGAGCAUGUAUACUCAGAUGCUCUGUGGCCUCAUCAUGCGCCACGAGGUUCUCCGCGUCGGAGCCGUUUUCGCCUCUGGCCUUCUCCGAGCCAUAAGGUUCCUUCAGCUCAAUUGGGAACAACUUUCCCAUGAUAUCCUCACCGGAACCCUAAACCCCAAGAUCACUGAACCUUCCAUCAAGGAACGCAUGUCCAAGAUCUUGAAACCUGACCCCGAACUCGCCGCUUUCAUUAAAAGCGAAUGCUCCGGAGAAAACUGGGAGCGUAUAAUCGUGAGGAUUUGGCCCAACACAAAGUACCUUGACGUUAUCGUCACGGGUGCCAUGGCUCAAUAUAUUCCCACACUCGAUUACUACAGCGGUGGCCUACCUAAGCCUUGUACCAUGUACGCUUCUUCUGAGUGUUUUUUCGGCCUCAACCUCAAACCCAUGUCCGAACCCUCUGACGUGUCUUACACCAUUUUACCCAACAUGGGUUACUUCGAGUUUUUACCGCAUGAUGAUUCCUCUCCUAUUACUCUCUCCAAGGACUCACCUCCUCGCUUGGUGGAACUCGCUGACGUGGAACUUGGUAAAUACUAUGAACUCAUUAUCACCACCUAUGCAGGUCUUUGCCGUUACAGGGUCGGUGACAUACUCCAAGUAACCGGUUUCCACAACUCAGACCCGCAAUUCCGUUUCGUGAGGCGCAAGAACGUUUUGUUGAGCAUUGACUCGGACAAAACCGACGAAUCCGAACUGCAAAAGGCCGUUGAGAAUGCCUCGGAGUUGCUGAAGGAGUUCAAUACCAGCGUGGCGGAGUACACAAGCUUCGCUGACACGAAAUCCAUUCCUGGGCAUUACGUGAUUUACUGGGAGCUCAUGAUGAAGGACUCGUCUCACCCUCCAACGAACCAAGUUCUGAACCAGUGCUGCUUGGUGAUGGAAGAGUCGCUGAACUCCGUCUAUAGACAAGGGAGAGUUGCCGAUAACUCUAUUGGGCCGUUGGAGAUACGAGUGGUGAAGAAUGGAACGUUUGAGGAGUUGAUGGACUACGCUAUCUCGCGUGGUGCGUCGAUAAACCAGUACAAAGUGCCAAGGUGCGUGAGCUUCACGCCCAUAAUGGAGCUACUUGACUCUAGGGUGCUUUCUUUUCAUUUUAGCCCAGCUGCACCGCACUGGACCCCAGAACGACGUCGUUGAAGGAAGGGUAGCAACGUACAGCAACAACAUUCAGUAGUCAUGCAUAAGAAUAUCUAGUAGUAGUAUAAUAAAGAGAAAAAAAAAACGGGUUGUUCAUUAUUGUUGUUAUUAUCCCUGCCGAACCCGAAAGUGUCUGUAUUUGUUGAUUUGAUAUUUCUAACGUGCUUGUUUUUUCUCUUCUUUCCUUCUAUUCUUUAUUAUGUCUUUUUUUUUCUCUUCCCUUUUGGCCGUUCUUUUGUUAAACAGUCAUGCCCUUUUAACUUUUUUUUGUCUGUGAAAUAUAAGUUCAAUUUCAAAUGGGUGCGCUAGAUACGUAAGUAAUUGUCAUGUUUAAAUGCUUGUUUAGCCCAAGUAUGGAAACCAUGUUUACACACCCUGUAUUUUGGCGAUUUGAAAAGACGUCGAAAGCUCAGAUGAUGGAAAACGUUCAUGUUUAGUGGCUGGAUUUGGUAUGAAUUGAACUUGUGAUGUGAUCAAUUCCAAAUUUGAAGUUAUCUCUUUCAAUAGGCACUAUGCGGGUGUACUUUUGUGCACGUGCUACAUAUUCUGUCUGUUGCACUAGGUUGGUGUUGGUUUAUAAUUCGCAGGAAAGUGAAUUGUGAAAUGUGUCGAGUGCGAACCCGUAGUUUUGGCUUUAAGCUUUUAAUAAAUAAAUUUUUUUGUUUGAGGCAUUAUGUUCUUGGAAGCAUCUCACAAGACCUUUAUACCGCACUGAUGCGGGCGGUUUAGUGCGUGGCUGCGUGAUGGAGCUUAUUACUGUCACAAUUGACAGCCUUAAUUUCGAUGAAUUUUUAAUUACUUUAGAUUAAAUUUGGUAUCCUUUCUAACUAACAUCUUUGACUCUCUUUAUCCCAUCUGAUUUAAGGAGAGAAGGAAAGAAGAAAAGGUUCAAACACACUCUUUCUGCGUUUCUACAGAAUUUGAAAGUGUGGCCAACUGGAAUUGGAAUAUGCUUUGAAAAUGAAAACAAGAAUGUCAAAUUCCUUAUAAAGUGGUUUUUACAUUUUAGCUAGUUAGUUAACAUAUUUGACCGUCUUUAGCAUAUUUAACUAAUUAAUAGUAAUAUGCAACACGAGUUGUAUUGCUAUGCACAUUGCUACAAAAGUGGCAGUUAUGAUUCAAUAUUGUACUUGAAUGCCCUUUAAAGAAACCAAAAGAAAAGGGAACAAAAGAAUACUUAUAUUUAAAUAUUAAAAUCAUGAGUGAAGAUUAAAUUAUUUGGAGAGUAACUCUCUUUAACACUAUUUUGUUUGAUAACUUUACAGAGAGAGAUUAUUUCCUUAAAAAAGAGAGAGAGACAUUAUUUUAAAAAUAACUUAUAACAAGAAUUAUUCUUAAAAAAGAGGGAGAGACAUGUAGCGGUUUGAACACUGGCUGAAGAGAAAUAGUACUAUAUAUAUUCCAACAAGCUUAAUAUGACUUCCUUGAUGAAUUCCGUUAAAUCUCUCUUAUGGUAUGUUUCAGAAAGCAAAAUCAAUAAAUUUGAGUGUAUUAUUGUCAAAUUGGUAAAUAAGAUUGCCAUAACUAGGUGACUUUGAGUUGGGGGAGUACAUAUAUAACAUCAGCAUUACGCAUUGUCAUAUUUUCAUUGUUAUACUGGGGCAGGAUUUUAUCACAUUUGUAUUUUUUUAAUUUACCAAUUUGAGAUGCUGAGUUGAGUAUUAAUAAAAAUAAAUAUAUAGGCAAACAUGAAAAAUAUAUGGUUGCCUCAUUAUAUAUGUCAAGUUUAAUUUGGAUCGGACGAGUUGCAUGACUUUGUGACUAUAAUUUAUCGUUUAAAAUAUAGGAAUCUUAAACAUUUAUUCAAUUUUGAAAUCUUUUAUGUAAUUUUUUUCAUUAAUUAUUUCCUUCCAAACAUAUAUAUUAGGCUCGAAAUCGAUAAAUAUUUGAAGUGAUAUAUGCAUGCAGUAAAAAUGUUAAAAUGUCAGGUUAGUAAAAUAAAAUUGGAAUAAAAAAAUAGUGAAAAUUAGAAUUUAAUUUGCAUUGUAUACUAUGGGUUCAGAUGCUUCUGUGUAUAACCUUUAGCUUUAAACGGGAAGGCUUCACACAAGUCAUGUUUAAUUGAAUAACGGCGAAUGAAAUACACUGUAGUAAAAACGAGAUCAUGAUGACUACCAUGAUAAUAAUAGUAGUUUUAUUAUCCUCGAAACUCUGUCUCUCCCUGUGACUGUAGUUUUAUUUUUCUUACAACUUUUUUAUAAUUAAAAGAUACAUAAAAUUAAAAAGAAAAAUUAAAUUAAAAUAAAUGAUAUGAUAAAAAGAAAUUAAACAGCAAGUUAUAAAAUAACAAUCUAUUAAACAUGAAUACAAAUAAUGCAACUCUUUUUAAACUAUCUUGUCACACCCUCCCCCCUCCCCCAAAUGAGGGGAAAAAUAGGUUGUCUGAAAGUGAGGCAAAAACAUCUCACAAAAUGCUAGCUUUUUUAAGUUAAUUGAAUAGAACAGCAGGCAACCCUAAAUGCAGUUGUUGGUGGUCGGAAUAAGGUUUUAAAGUGGUAGGAAGCUGUUAAAGUAAAAUCUUUGAAUGUCUUCCUGUCUGGUGAUGCUCAUCAGUAAUCUCUGGCCGUUUUCAAUCAUAGGUUUGAAUCUAAAACCAGCAAAGUUCUCACAAUAAUAAAAUAAAAAACAUAAAGUAAAUAAAAGUAUAGCAUAAAGUUGAUUGAAGUUAAUAGUUAUGAGAAAGAGUUUAAUUUUGAUUUAUUAUAAAGAAGCUACUGAUCAAUAAAUACAUUUAGGACAUUAGGAAGCUGGAAAAUGAAAAAUUAUGAUAGUGAAUUGAGUUUCCUGGAGUAUAUUCUACUCCAAUAUUGUAUGCCAGUGUCCUAUCUGAUGGAUAUUAAACAACCAUAUCAAUAAACUUUAGGGAUAACAUAACAUGCAUCAUAAUGGUAGUGAAAUUCUUUUUUUUCGGCAGCAGGGUAGUUUGCAUGCUUUGGAGUAAUUAGGAGCCCAGAAAGCUCGUGCAGGGCUUGAAUAAUAGAGAUGUCAACUGGGUUGGGCUAAAGCAAUUAGAUUGUUAGAUUCAUUAAAUUUCAGCUCAGGCUUUGUACAAAGACAAAAAUGGACCACGUGCAUUAUUGUCCUUUACUGGAACUUUUAUCCACCUCUCUGUGUUCUUUGCUUUGUUUGUCCACUGCUUUGCCUCAGACAGCGUCACCUCUUACCUCUUUUCCUUUAAGGGCUUGUCUCUUCUUUACAUUUAUGCAAACAGGGCUCUGUAUCUCUCUCUCGAUCUAGAAGCAUAGAAAGAAUUAUGGAGGGCUUUAUUAUUCGAUUCUGUCACUUUUGUAAUGUUGUAAUGCCGAAAUGGUUGGACCACGUUACACAUGAUGCAAGUUUCUGGUAACCCUUAAUUUUAUGCUUGUGCUUUGGACUAUUGCAAUAGUUCAUUCGUUUGUGUAUAAUGACUUUGGUUAGUGGAUAUAUCAUAUAUAUUUUCAUUCUUUCCUCCGCCUGAUGAUAUAUAUUUUUCAUUUUUUACGAGGAAAUUGCAUUUCCUUCUUACAAUACUUAAACUACACUCAUGCUUUUUCUUAUUUGAAUAUAUAUACUCCUUUUUGUUUUUUCUAAGGAGAUCAAUAUGGGUUACAUGAGUUUAAUUUAAUGCAAAUGAAUAUUAUAGAGACUUUUUCUUGAAUACUAAUUUUCAGUAUGAUUAAAAGCUAGUUUUUUUAGCAUUUAUUUUUUAUUUUUUUAAUCUUGGAAUAUAAAAUAAUUAAAGAUUUUAGAUGAAAUUUCAAAGUCAAUAAUAAAAUAUUUUAAAUUUAUUUUGUUUUCUAAAAUAGAAUAAUGGAUAAUAACAUACUCAAAAUUAGUUAUUGGACUAAGAUUAUAGGAAAAAAAAUGUUAUUAAGAGACAUUCACUGUUACUAGUAUUACUUAUUCAAAUUUACACUAUUUAUAUAAAGUCCAUCACAUUUUUUUUAUUAAACUCUCUAAUUAAAUUGAUAACAUGUAAAUAUUUAUCUUAAAUUUUCAUAAAAAAUAUUAUGUGUCUUCAUUUGAAUGAAAAAAAAAUUUAAAAAUACAAGAAAUUUAUUUAAAUUUUGUAAAACAGACAUUCAACAGUUUGCAAUUUUGCAUAAUUUGGAAUAAGAGGGACGGGAGAAGGUAUUAGUUAAUAAUAUCGGCCCGUGUUAUACUCUUGUUGGGCCUGACUCAUGAAAUAUUACUUCCGGCACUGUAGUGCAAAAAAGUUGGGUAUUAGUAUUGGUCCUACUAAAAUUAUUUCUGGCCCCUACUUAGAGGAGAAAAGUCUAUUCUACCCCAUUUCAAAUUGUGAACCCCUCCCUCAACCCCUAUGUGACACCCCUCUUCUCCUUUCUCCUUCUUCCUUCUUGAGUUCCUUCUUAUCCUUCCCUUCUCCUCACCAACCCCAACGAAUCAUUCCCUUAUGCUUCCCCAACCUACUCCUCAACCCUUCCCUUCUCACUUCUUCGUGCAACCCAUCCCUUCCCUAACCUUCUGUUAAUUUUUUUUUUGGGUUAUGGUUGACAAUAGAAUCAUAAUUUUGUUGAUUUUUUUUUUGUUUCAAAAAGAAAACGAAAUCAUAAUUCCACUAUAGAUUUUUCUACAACAGAAUCGCAAUUCAAAUACUAUUUUUUUGAGGGUUUGAAAUACACAAAACGGAAUCAUGAUUUUGUUGUUGAUUUUGCUAGUACACACAAUGGAAUCACGAUUCUGUUGUACGUUUUGUAUAACAAAAUCUUGAUUUCAUGGGGAGGGUGUUUUUGGAAUAAAAAAAGUCUCAGCCCCUUGAGCCAAGAGCAAUUAUCAUGGAGCCAAUAGUAACUCCCAAUAAGUUACAUACAUGCUUCGGGACUUGGAUUUGAAUACCACACCUCCCAAAUUUUGAAAAAUUUCAAAUUAUCCUUUUCAUAUUAUACCAUUUUGGAAUAGAUAUUUCGUAACAUUAAAAAUUAGUUUCUAAAAUAGGUGUUCCAUACCAACAAAAAAAAUAACUUUGUCUUUUGGAAUAUAUAUUUCAUAACAGUAAAAAAAUAUCUUACGGAAAAAGUGUUUCAUAAAAGUAAAAAAAAGUUUUACUUUCAAAAAAUGAUAUUUUAUAACAAUAAAAAAUAAUUUUUAGAAUAGAUGUUUCAUAACAUUAAAAUGAUAGUUUAUAUUUUCAAACAAAAAUAGAAAAUGCAAAAUACACAUACGGGAGUCAUCCCCGGGACAUUGGAUAGGUUAUGCAAAUACGGAAUAUGCACUGUAUGGACUUAUAUCCGAUUCAAACGGCAUUUGCAAGGGCCUUACUAUUCUCCCAUCUCGUUCUGCUCUUCUCAACCCAUCAUGUGUUUGUGUUUUUUGAAUAAUUACUACUUGAUUUUUUUAGCAAUAUUUAAGCUGAUUAUUAGUUUAGAAUAAAGAGAGUAUUUAUAAUUAUACUUUUUUCUUUGAUCAUCUCAUAUGUGAAAUAGGUGAGAAAAAGAAAAAGAAAUAACAAGUAGACGAAUACGACGUUAAAAGAAGGAACUAACUGGAACUCCUACAGUUCAAAUUAAACUGCACAAGAUGCAGCCUCCAUCUAAUGGUGAUUAAUUUUCGAAUUUCGAAAGUAGAUUUUAUGCUUCAUUUCAAUACAAAAUAAAAAUAUUUCUGAUGUAUUAAAAACUACAAAAUAAAAUAUUUUGAUGGGAUGAGAUUUGUGUAGUUAAAAACUUUAAUUGUAGGAGAGCAAGACCAUAAAACAGUUCAUACAAUCAUGCCAAGAAAAAAAAUCAUAAAACAGUCGUACGUGGUCAGUGUUCAUGCAAGAAAAAAAAGAUCAUAAAACAAAUAGAAAAAAAAGAUCAUAUAUAUAUAUAUAUAUAAAGAAUGAAAAAAAUGAAGAUAUACCUUGAUGAUUUUGGUGCCAGACAUGUCAUGUCAGCUCAGACAGUCGUACGUGUUCACGCAAGAAACCUUGUUCUCUUGGAAGAAUAACGAUAAAUAGACAUAGCGGGAGACGUAAAAAAAAAAUAAAAAAAGCAACUGAAUUUCCAAUCCUGAGACCGCAAGGAAAUAUAACUCAAAACCUUAUUCUUCAGUGUCGCUUUUACCAAAACGCCAAAAUCGCCCUGUAGACUGUACACUGAGACUGGUUUUAAAGCAACGCCACUUGUUCCAGCCAUGCCUCCUCAAGAGACCCAACAACCUCUGUUAUCGGAGGAGCAAGAAGAGACAGCCUACGAUUCCUCGGAGAAGGUUGUGGUGGUCGGAAUCGACGAGCACGACGGCGACUUGGAGGCGCCGCCGUUCUCAUGGCGGAAGCUGUGGCUCUUCACCGGGCCCGGGUUUCUGAUGAGCAUCGCUUUUCUGGAUCCCGGGAACCUCGAGGGGGAUCUUCAGUCCGGUGCCAUUGCUGGGUACUCGCUCCUGUGGCUCCUCAUGUGGGCCACGGCUAUGGGCCUUCUUAUCCAGCUUCUAUCGGCUCGGCUCGGCGUGGCUACGGGGAGACACUUAGCCGAACUCUGCAGGGAAGAGUAUCCCACAUGGGCUAGGAUUGUUCUGUGGUUGAUGACUGAGGUUGCUCUUAUUGGCGCUGACAUACAAGAGGUUAUUGGGAGCGCUAUUGCUAUCAGGAUUCUCAGUAACGGCGUCGUUCCGCUCUGGGCCGGGGUCGUCAUUACAGCUUUUGAUUGGUGAAAUUUUCAUUCUUUUUCUUAAACUAUGUAUGGUAGUAUUUCAAAUUAAGCAAGUAAUUGACUUCUUUCUCUUUGAUUGAUUUUUUUAGUUUUAUUUUUCUCUUUCUUGAGAACUAUGGUGUGAGGAAACUGGAAGCGUUUUUCGGUGUUCUUAUUGGUGUAAUGGCUCUCUCAUUUGCUUGGAUGUUUGGUGAAGCUAAGCCCAAUGGUGUUGAUGUUCUUGUUGGUAAGUUUCUUUUCGGUUUAACUGUUCACUUCGACCCUAUAUACUCGUUCUCGUUUAAAGUUUUAGUCUCUGUAUAAGAAGAUUGUACGUUUUAGUUUCUACAGUUUUUUUGUAACUGUUUAUAACCGUAGAAAGUUUUUGUAGCGGCUUUACACCGCCAGGAAUUCUUUUUUUAUGCAUACUUAGGGACAAAACUUACAAUUUCCUCGUAUAGGGACUACAACAAAAAAUGAAGAUAAUUACAUGGACCAGAUGAAUAAUUUAACGUGCUUCAUUUCUGAUAUAUUCUUCAAUCUUAUCUAUGUAGGUAUUUUGGUUCCUAAACUUAGCUCCAGAACUAUACAACAAGCUGUUGGAGUUGUGGGUUGCGUUAUUAUGCCUCACAAUGUUUACUUGCAUUCUGCGCUUGUUCAAUCAAGAAGGGUUGACCCCAGCAAGAAAGGCCGUGUUCAGGAAGCUCUUAAUUACUACUCCAUAGAGUCCACCAUCGCCCUUAUAGUGUCCUUUGUCAUUAAUAUAUUUGUCACAACUGUGUUUGCUAAGGGCUUUUAUGGUACUGAAAUAGCAAAUAGCAUUGGUCUUGUAAAUGCAGGGCAGUACCUUCAGGAGAAGUAUGGGGGUGGACUAUUCCCAAUCCUGUAUAUAUGGGGUAUUGGGUUGUUAGCAGCCGGCCAGAGUAGCACAAUUACUGGUACAUAUGCUGGACAGUUUAUCAUGGGGGGUUUUCUGAAUUUAAGGUUGAAAAAGUGGAUGAGGGCAUUGAUAACACGAAGUUUUGCCAUCAUCCCAACCAUGAUAGUUGCUCUUAUAUUUGAUACCUCAGAGGAAUCAUUAGAUGUUCUGAAUGAAUGGCUUAAUGUUCUCCAGUCAGUUCAAAUCCCCUUUGCACUUGUUCCCUUGCUUUGCUUGGUGUCCAAAGAACAGAUAAUGGGCAGUUUCAGAAUUGGCCCUGUCCUCAAGGUAUAUUAUCCCCUUAUCUGAAUUUUGGCCACACUGGCCACUUUAACAGUUGCCCGUUAUCAGUUUUAUUUAUUUGAUAGAAGACUAUGAUUCAUUGGAUAUAAAAUUGCCAUCUCUAUCUUCCUUUAUGGGCUAUCAAUUAAUAAAACCUAGGGAUAGUGGAGAGAUAAUUCAGAAAUGUUCGAAUGCAGACCUUUCUUGUCUUGCUAUUUAAGCAGGAGAUAAUUCAGAAUUGACCUAAGGUAUGCGGUAUACCUGAUUUCUCUUACAAUGCAGAAUUAGAUUUUAAGAUGCCAAAUGGGUGGCUUGAUUUUACUGUCCUGUCUUGAGAAAUAAAAGGUGAGAUAGUGGAGUGUCCAUGAUCUAGUUUAACCAAUUUUCCCCCUUAUGAAGCUGUUCUUCUAAACAACUUUUCCAAAGUUAUUUUUAGUAAUUAAAUUAAAGCUAUAGUUUCUUCUAUCCUUUUUGUUGUAUAUUAUUAUUCAUCGUGAGAUUAUAUUUUCAUUGGUUUUUCAAUGUGUGACAAUGGACCCAUGCUAACAAGACAAAAAAUAGAAAGUUUUUAUAAAACAAGAAAAUGUGUACUAUAUGGAAAUACACAAGUAGUUUAAAUACUGUCUAUUUAAAGUUAUUAGAAGUAUUUAAUAGUGUCUAUUUAGCGCUUCUUAACAUAUGCCCGUUGCCUUAAAACUGUAUUUUCAAUAACCCAUAAUAUGCAGCUUAUCUUGCUGCAUUUGGAAACUGCAUGUGAUUCAGCUGUCUUGAAACAUCCCAAAAAUGACUUAUAUUUAUAUAUGUGAUAAAUAUCCCAAAAAUGACUUAUAUGCUUUCUGAAGUUGGUAGUUUCAAGAAUUCCUUUCUUGUCCCCCCUUCUUGUUUCUUUUCUUUUGCUUUUUAUGUUUCUUUGGGUGCAUCGGUGCUGCUUGUUGUUUUCUAUAUUGAAGAUGCUAAGACAGUGUUGUUUAUUUGAUGCUUUGACUUUUUGGUGAGUGUUCUUAAACUGUAGCUUCUGUCGACUUUGGAUGUAUUUAGACCAACACCCCUUUGCCGAAUCUUCUGCUUUAUUUGUUUGGAUUAAUUGUAUAAUAGUCAUGAUUCUCUUAUGAUGAUAUGGAUACAGAUUAUUUCCUGGCUUGUGGCUGCUCUGGUGAUAGUGAUAAAUGGCUAUCUAUUGCUGGAAUUCUUCUCUUCUGAAGUGAAUGGGGCAGUGUUUGCCACUGUAGUGUGUGUAUUAACAGCUGCGUAUGUUGCAUUUGUACUUUACCUUAUUUCACGGGCCAUUACCUAUACACCGUGGCAAAGGUUAACCCGAUCAAAGACAGUUGCUACCACAGUGAAUUGAGCAGUCAAAUUCCAAUUCCUUAAAACCAUGGAGUAGGAAAUGCUUAGCCGCUGAAGGCUUUCACAAGUACAUUUCCUCGAUUUUUUUAGGUUUACUCAUGCUUGUUAAUUUGAUGCAGAGGGCAGUGGUACCUUCUUGGUUGUCAUACUUAAACAAAACGAGUUGAUUUAUCUGUUUUUCUGUCAAAAUUCGAUGUAUAAUGCAGCUAUUAGCAUGCGUUGGAUAUUGAGAUAAUGUAGUUGAGAUACCUUUUAAAACUAUGAUGUUACAGAUAGUUCCCUUUAUUGUUCUCUCUGGCCCCCCCUAUCCACUCUAUUUGGGAUUUCUUUUAAGUUGUGGGUGGAAUAUAUGCUACUUUGCGUCCAAACCAAAUUUUGGCAUAGAAGAUUGUGGAAGUGUAGUGGGAAUGUGACGAUGCAUCUACCCCCAAUAUGAUGCCAUUUCCACCCUUCAUUCCAUGUCAAUUACAGCAAUAACAUUUCUUUCAAAAUAUAGGCAAGAAAAAAGACAUCCAAAGGAAGCUUCCUUAUGAUUUAUAUGGCCUCAACGUACUUGAACCGAUAUAUAACAAACUGAUAUUUUUCACCUUGACAUGCAUUCUCAUUCACAGAGUAGUAUUGACAAUAUAAGUAAGUAUCAAAAUUAAAGUUUUAAAAAAAUCCAUAAUUACAGUACCAAAAAAGCCUACAUCUCAGAAAAAAUAAUUGAAGUGUUUAAUCCAUUAAUGAUUUCCAUCUCUCAAUCCAUUGAAAAUGGAGAAAUCAAGUCAUUCAUCCCUCAAAUAAGCUUUCUAGCCCCUUCUUCCUCAAACCAAUCUGCACAUAUAAAUGAGACUCUUCCGGAUAUUACAAUGAUUUUUAUCUCCUGGCAGUAAAAAAAAAUCUCCUUGAAAGUAAAGUUUAAAUUUAGCCUCGUUGAUAUGUAUAUAAAAAAAACAAAUUCAACCCCAUUGAUAUACGAAGCUUCCAUAGUAAUCCUAUAAAAUGUUUUAUGUAGUUAAUUACAAAAAUAAUUUUAAAGUAUUUUAAGCAGAAUAAAAAAUAACAGAAAAUAUUAUAUUUAAAAUAUAAUAAAUAUUUAAUAUUUUUUAAAAAUAAAAAUAUAUUAAAUAUUGUUUUAAUAAAAUCAAGACUCUAAUGAAAAAUGAUAAACCCAAUUUAAUAAAUGAAAAGCAUAAGUCAUUUUUUUACCUGCAGUGAAUGCUGUAAGAGAAUCUCUGUUACAUUUCAGUAUUAUUAUUAUUUUUUUACAUAAUUUAGAUUUAAAUAUUUUUCUAAAAAUGAGUCUUGCUAAUUGUAUUUUAAAGAAUUAAGUAAGAAGCAUUUAAUAUACUUUCUCAAAUAUUUUCAAUUAUUUAAAAUAAUAUAUUCGGACGAACGUUUCUCUUCUUUUUUUCCCAAAGUUUUUUUUUUUGCUUUUUUUUAACUUUUUAUUUCAUUUUGUUUUUUUUUUAAUUUUAUUACAUUUAAUUAUGAGUUUAAUGUCUAUGUAGGGAUAAUGUAAAUUUAAUAAUAAAUCAUCAUUUGAAUUAUUUUAACAUAAUUAUUUUAAAAGUUAAUAAGUUUAUUAUAGAAAAUGUGGUGUAAUUGAAUAGUUGAUGAAUAACUUUUUUUUGUUAUAAAAAUUAUUAAAAAAAAUUAUGAUUGGGCAAUUGAUAGUAAGUUAGGUAACAAGAGAGAUUAAAUAAAGGAUAAAUACUUAUUUUUGUGAGCAUUAACAAAUUUAUUUUUGAAAGGUGAAAAUUUAAAUUUUAGUUCUCGAAAGAAAGAAAAAAAUGUGACAGAUAUAUCUAUCUGUUUAACCUAUGUAUGUUACUCUUAAUGAAAUCAUCUACGUGAUACAUUAUUUCAAAGUAAUAAACAACCUAUUAAUCAAUAUUAUGUUUAUUAUUAUGUUUGUUUUUCUAUUUUUUAAAAUGUUUAUUAUAAUGUUAUACUUAGACAUGACAAGAAAAUCCAUAUCCGGGUAAUACCCGAGUUGACCGGGUAUGGAUUCAGGUUCGGGUUUUUCCGAUAACAAAAAGUCGGAUACGAGUGCGGGUAUGGAUUACUAGACUCGUCCCAACCUUGAACCCGAACCCACCCGUCACUUAAAAUCUUUAGAAUUUUUUUAUAAUUUAAUCAAAAGACAUAGAAUUUUUAUUAUUAGUUAAUUUUAUUUUAGAAUUUUUACAUAAGUUAAUAUUAUUUUCUUAACUAUUUUUGUAGACAUACGCGCUAUAAUAAAUUUAUUGAUAUAUAAGUAGUUAAAAAUAAAUGUUUAACAAUCAAUUUAUUUUUCUAAAAUCAAAUUUUUAAUAUUUUUUUUACAAAAAAAAUAUUUUUCUAAUUUGAAUUGUGUAUGGGAAGAGGUUGGGGAUACGCGAUAACUCUGACAAGUACGGGAAUGAAACAAUAAACUUAAACCAGUCCUAAAUAUAGUAUGAGGAUAAGCUGGGGAGUCAGGGCAAGGGAUUUACCCAUUCCGUCCCAUUAUCAUGUCUAGUUAUACUUGUCAAAUAAAAAAAAGAUAAAGAUCAAAUAAAAAGAUAAAGAUUAAAUUAUAUGUUGGAUAAAUAAUUUUUUAUAAAUAAAAUAGUAACAAAUUCAUCCUUGAAUAUGGAAGGUAGGCUCUUUCAAUAACCACCAUGAUACAAUUUAAUGGAUGAAUAGAGUUGUAUAUGUUUUUUCACAUUGAAGACUAAAAUUUAAAUGAUUUGUGGGAAAUAAAUUUGUCAAUGUACUACAAAAAUAAUUACUUAUCCUUAAAUAAACAAAAAAAUAAAGCAAAAAUGGAAAUUGUUAGUUUCCGUCACAACACAGCACAGGCUAGUGAGACUCGUUUUUUCUCCAUCGGUUCUUCAGUUUUCACUUCCUGUCUCGUUUCGAUCCGUGCCACCGCUCGGACCAGUUAGACUCAUGGCGUCGCUAUGGACUCAACUAAUCUCCAUGGCCUCCCUACUUCUAUCCCUUGCGCGGUGGGUACCUGUCUCCGGUGACUCCAGCAACGUGUUACUCUUACCAAGUCCUCAUCACGAGGGCUCUCGCCCUGCCAUGAUUCUCCCCCUACAUCACUCCGUUCCCGAUUCUUCCUUCUCUCACUUUAAUCCACGUCGUCAACUCAAGGAAUCCGACUCAGAACACCAUCCCAACGCUCGCAUGAGACUGUACGAUGAUCUCCUUCGAAACGGGUUAGUCUCUUUCACUCCCUCGCUUCCUCUUUUUUUUUUUUCCAAAAUAGUUUUCGCUUUUUUUGUUGUUGUUAAUUAUGUGUGUGUGUUUUGGGAAAUUGGAUGGAGUAGCUACUAUACGGCGCGGCUUUGGAUCGGCACUCCUCCGCAGAGGUUUGCUCUUAUUGUUGAUACGGGGAGUACUGUUACCUAUGUUCCGUGCUCUACUUGUAGACACUGUGGUAGCCACCAGGUGAUGCUUCCAGCUACUACCCCUACACGUUUGGAUCAAUAAAUUAAUGUUUAUUUUGAUUGAUUAUUAAUUUUGUGUAAAGAAGCUGCUAUUUGAUUGUGGAUAUGACUCGUGAUUAUAAAAAUUAUUGAGAUGCCAACUCAACUAGAGAUAUGACUAAUAUGGUCCUUAUAAGGAGUAAGGACAACUCUCACCUUACAAGCCGAUUUUGUUGAGAUGAGUUACGCUUAAGCCUAAAUUCUAAGAUGGUAUCAAAAUCUACUAUAGAUUUGCUAUUGGGCCACUCGUAUUUGUCUAAACUCUAGAUGUCUAUUGCUUGGCAUGAAGGGUGUUGUUAUUGGUCCGCAUUUGUCCACACUCUGAAUGUCUAGUCUUGAGUGUGAGUAGCCUAAAGGGGUGUGUUGACUGUUGAGAUCUAACAUCAAUUAGAGGUAUAUACCAAUGUAAUUCUUAUAAGGCUUGAGCUGUUUUGUGGGGUUGAGUAGCUCAAAUUCUAAGAAAAAUACGCGUAUAAGGGGUUAUAUGAUUUUGUUCAUAUAUAUACUCUUGGCAUGCUUUGUAUAUAUGUGAAAAUGGAAAUGGGGAGGAGUGAAAAUUGAUGACAAGUUCAGACACAACAUAAGUCUAAACCCCAGACACACAGUUUCAUUCUUAUUCCUCCAAAUUUCACUUCUACCAACUGCCAAACACUCCUUUAAUGUUGCAUGGUAGACUGCUUAUGCCUCUUGCAUGUUUAGUUUGUUCAGAAUAUCAUUUAUUUCAUCUUCAAAUAGAUGUAAAAAAAAUGAUUUUAUUUGGAAUUUAUUGUGCCUGUGCCUGUGUAUCUCAUCUAAUUUAUCUGAAGUAAAUUUGUGUGCCCAAUUUUAUUUUAACAGGAUCCAAAGUUCCGACCAGAAGAUUCAGAAACCUAUCAACCUGUUAAAUGCACAUGGCAGUGCAACUGUGACAAUGACAGGAAGCAGUGCACGUAUGAGAGACGGUAUGCUGAAAUGAGUACUAGCAGUGGGGCCCUUGGUGAGGAUGUUGUAUCCUUUGGAAAUCAGACUGAGCUUUCCCCCCAACGUGCCAUUUUUGGCUGUGAAAAUGAUGAGACUGGUGAUAUUUAUAAUCAGCGUGCUGAUGGCAUCAUGGGUUUGGGCCGUGGAGAUCUAAGUAUUAUGGACCAACUGGUUGAGAAAAAGGUGAUAAGUGAUUCGUUCUCACUGUGCUAUGGUGGAAUGGGUGUUGGUGGUGGUGCUAUGGUUCUUGGUGGCAUAUCUCCCCCAGCUGACAUGGUCUUUACACGUUCAGAUCCUGUUCGAAGGUGUGUGCCAAAUUUCUUAUUUCAUAGAUAUGAGAUGUCAUGCAUUUUCUUAACAAAUGCAUUUGAUUAAUCUCACACAUUUACUCUAGUUUCGGGAUGGCGACAGUCCAUAUUACAAUAUUGAUUUGAAGGAGAUACAUGUUGCGGGGAAGCGACUGCAUUUAAACCCAAAGGUUUUUGAUGGAAAACAUGGAACUGUCUUGGAUAGUGGCACAACUUAUGCAUACCUACCAGAAUCUGCAUUUCUUGCAUUUAAACAUGCUGUAAGUUCUUUCUCAUAAAUAUUACUGGAGAAAGUUUUUUGAGUUAGAAUUUUUAAUCUCAGAUAUUUUCUAAAAACCUUGACUUUCAUGUGUAAUGAGGUGUGGAAAUAGAAUAAAAUUGUUAAAGGAUAGGUGAUAAAUGGAGUUGGAGGUUUUAAGUUCCUCGAAUUUUUUAUUUUAUUUUUUAAUUUAGUGAAGAUUUAUGCAAUGCACUUAGGCAAAGUUACUUUGAUGCUUUGAUAAGUUAACUUUACUUUUUCAGUACAAUUAUAAAAAUUAUUGGAUGGUUGUUUGUUCAUUACAUCUCAUUAAUGGGAUGCCAAAACAUUGUGCUGUUUAACCUUUCUGAAUAGAUUCCUCUUUUGCUGCUCUGAUAAGUUAACUUUAAUUUUACAGUACAAUUUUAAAAAUCUUUGGUUAUUGGGUAUACUAUGAUAUCUAAAUACUUGAAGUUUAGCAUGCUUCUUUUGCAAAGUCUCAUUGAGUUUUCCAAUCAAUAUGUGAUACAAUAUUAGCAGUCAUUGUUAACCAUUAAUUUCGGAACAACACUUAAGUGAUAAUGCUUUAAGAUUAUCACUUACAAUGCUGUAUUUAGAAAAUUCAAUUGUAUAGUCAAAUGUAUGUGCCAUGUAUCAUGGAUUCAUGGAGAAUCCUUUUUGUUCUCUCAUCAUCAUUUAUGGUUUUGUUUAUUAAUUAUCUUAUUUUUGCAUCAUAAAUCAAAUAUCCUGUUUGCAAUAUAAAAUCAAGUAUUCUGUAUAACAUAUAAAUUUUAUCUUUUAUGACCGAUGACUAUGAUUAUGUAUUUAUCUGAAUGCAGAUUAUGAAGGAAACACAUUCGUUGAAGCGAAUAAGUGGUCCAGAUCCACGUUAUAAUGAUAUAUGUUUUUCUGGUGCAGAAAUGUAAGUCUGGCAUUAUUAAGGAGUGAAUGUACACAUGAUUGCUGCUUAAUUAACAGUUGAGUUUACUUGUAUUUCAGUGAUGUCUCUCAAAUCUCUAAAAGCUUUCCGGUGGUUGAAAUGGUAUUUGGAAAUGGUCACAAGUUGUCACUGUCUCCUGAAAAUUACUUGUUUCGGGUUAGUUAUGUAGUAAAAUCAUUAUUAUCUCUAGUUGUGUUUCUGGGUUGAUCGAUUUUCUUAUCCCUAUUUUUCAUGUGGCUGUCUUUUAUGAAGCAUUCAAAAGUGCGAGGUGCGUAUUGUCUAGGGGUUUUUUCAAAUGGCAAUGAUCCAACUACUCUUUUAGGAGGUAUAGCUUAUUUAGUAUAGGUUAUUUCAUGCCAUUUCGUACUUCCCCUUAUUUGAAGUAUUGUUCCUCUAUGAUUUUUGUUAGAGUUAUGGGUUUGUGCAAUACUUUAGUGAUAAUUCUUUUGUUUGUGUAGGUAUUGUUGUUCGUAACACUCUUGUAAUGUAUGAUCGUGAGCAUACAAAAAUUGGUUUCUGGAAAACUAAUUGUUCUGAGUUAUGGGAAAGACUACAUGUGUCAGAUGCCCCACCACCCUUGUUGCCUCCAAAAUCUGAGGGAACAAAUUUAACCAAAUCAUUUGAGCCCUCUAUUGCUCCAUCUCCAUCACAGUAUAAUUUACAGCUAGGUAUUAUGAGCUGCUGAUAUUCUAUUUUAUUUUAAGGAAUACGCAGAGAUAUCAAGUUCAAACAUGGAUCAGAUGUCACACAUUGAUAAAAUAGUUCGUUGUGUUUUUUAUUUUAUCUUUUUUUUCAGAAAUUAUUGCCAUUUCUUUGUGAUUUAUAUGCUCACUGAUGACUAAUAUGCUUUCAUUGAUUUAAAUGUGCAGGUGAACUCCAAAUUGCUCAAAUAAUAGUUGUUAUUUCGUUUAACAUCAGCUACAUGGAUAUGAAGCCUUACAUCACAGAAUUGACUGGACUCAUUGCUCAUGAAUUAGAUGUUAAUAGUUCACAGGUUAGAAAAUGGUCACUGAAGUGCAGAAAAUCUGGUUGCAUACUUGCAUCUUUAAUUAUAAUCAAUAAUUUUUGUGCAACCUAAGGGUUUAAUUAACAAUAUUCAUGAUAUAACCUUGGCAAUCUCAUUUGGAUGGUGUGGGUUGGAAUUUGGGUAGAGGUCAUAGAUUUUAGACUUUUUGUCAUGUGGCAACUUUCCAAAAUACCUAGAGAACAAUAUGCAUGUUUGGCUAAUUUUUCCCUGUUUGUGUGUAUUUUUACUUUAUGAUAAUAACAUUCUUGGCUGGAAUGCUUACAGGUUCACUUAAUGAAUUUUUCUUCUCUUGGAAAUGGUUCUCUCUCUAAAUGGGUCAUAACACCGAGGCCAUAUGCUGAUUUCUUUUCUAAUGCUACUGCAAUGGUAAGUGAACAUUUGUGCAUUUGCAUUUUUGUGAAGACUUCCCAUUUAAUGGUGAUUUUCAAUGUAACAGAGUAUGAUUGCCCGGCUUUCUGAACAUCGUAUGCAACUUCCUAACUCAGUUGGAAGUUAUAAGUUAGUUGAUUGGAAUGCCGAGCCUCCAUUGAAACGGUAAAUUUUUUCUUGAAAGGAAAAGUCAGAAAAUUUUCUCUCCUACCAUCGUUUACUUGUGUUUGCAUAACUUCCUGUUUUAUUAUUUAUAUUGCAUGCAAUACUGAGGUUCCUAGUUUUACACAUUCAGAUUGGUUGGAAAAUCUAAUGCCCUAAUCUAUUAAAUUUCAUGCUUGAGGUUACUUGUGUUCCUUUCUGCAUCUGAUAUUUUGUAAAAACGCAUGCCUUUUCACACUUAUACAUACCAAUAUUCAUGUAUUUAUAUAAUUGUUAUAUAUAUGUUUGUGUGCAUUUGUAGAGCAUAUUAGGUGAAAAUGAGUGAGAACCAAUCUUGCUAAACAAAAACAAUACAUAGAUAGUUAAGAAUAAAUUUUAAUAAAACUAAUGUUAACUAUCUAUAUAUGAUUGUAUAACUAUUAGAAUCUUGUGAUUCAUACAGAAAGAGAGAAAAGAGAGUGAAAUUUAAGAUGUAAUAAAUGAUUGGUUGGAGAGGAAGACUCAAAAUGAUGUAUAAAUUGUUGUAUGACAUUUCUUUCUGAAAUGAUGCAGGACUUGGUGGCAGCAAUAUUAUUUGGUUGUGGCUUUAGCUGUUUUGCUUACAUUCGUUCUAGGAAUAUCAACCUUAGGAAUAUUCUUAAUUUGGAAAAAAAGACAGCAAGCUGAGCACUCAUACAAGCCAGUUGAUGUAGCUGUUCAAGAGCAGGAACUUCAGCCAUUAUGAGCUUCGUUUGUACUACCACUGCUUAAUGGUUUGCCUGAUUAGCGUGGCUGGCAUAUUCGAGUCCAUUAAUGCGUGAGCAAUAUACACAAUCAUAUAGUCAUACAACGGAUCAAGAUUUUGGUUUCUAAGAAAUCGAGUUGUCUAUCAUGAUAUAAUGAAACCCCCAUAGAUGUAUAUAAAGAAUUCUUUAGAAGUUGUAUCAUCUGCAAACGCAAUUUUGUUUGUGAUCAUUGUAAUAUAUAGCGGUGAAUCACGANNNNNNNNNNNNNNNNNNNNNNNNNNNNNNNNNNNNNNNNNNNNNNNNNNNNNNNNNNNNNNNNNNNNNNNNNNNNNNNNNNNNNNNNNNNNNNNNNNNNCUUUUUGUUUAGUUAUUGCCAUUUUGCUUAUUGGUCAUGGGUUCGAAUCCGGAAACAGCCUCUUUGCAUAUGCAAGGGUAAGGCUGCGUACAACAUCCCUCCUCCAUACCUUCGCAUAGCGAAGAGCCUCUGGGCAAUGGGGUACGAAGUUUUUAUUGCAUUUUGCUUGGUUUAUAUCUUACUUUUCUGUUCACGUUUUUCUAAUUUUGGUUCAAUGAAAUUAAUCUUCAUUCUUGUAUCGCAGUCUAUUUACUAAUCAUUAGUAAUUAGUAACAAUAAAAUUAUAUGAUGUGGUUAUGGUUGAAGAUAAUGAUAAUGAUAUGCAACCUCAUAGUAGUUGAGAGAAUAAUCAGAGAAUUAGAUAGUUGUGGGUUGAGAUAAAUAGAGAAACAAUACAUGUUGCCUAUAAAUAAGAAAAGGGAUUGAGAGGGAGAUUUUUAUCUUGUGAUUUGAAAGGAAAUUUAGAUUGUUGUGGAAGAGUCGAGACCCCUCAAAAGUCAUUGAGAAUCAUUUAUACACUAUUUUGUUAAUAUAAGUUUUUCUCUCAAUAAUUCUGGUUGAAUUUCAAUUAAAUAAGUUGAAAUUUAAUGAUUUCUCAGUUUUAAACUUGAGUUUAAUAGUGAAAAAAAAUUAAUAUUUAAUAAUGAGGAGAGAUCAAAUUAAUAUAGGAGUAAUAUUAAUAAAUUUAUUUCACAUCAUUAUUAUUUAUUUAUUUAAAAUUUAAUGAUUAAGAUUAAUUACUCCUUAUAAUCAUUAGAUUUUAAAAAUUGAAUGAUGAUGAUAAAUAAUUUUUUAAAAACUAUUAUUAAAGUAACUUGAUCCCUCAAUAAUAAUAACUUAGACAAUAUUGUGAUGCAAUUUCAUUUGCCUACUUAGAUAUGAGAUCAUUAGUUUAAGGAAACAGAUUUGUGGAAUAUUUUUCAUGUUUUACCACAACGAAGCAGCGCUUGGCCAGUCUUUAUUUUUGGUAGACUUGGACCGCAGCUUGUUCACGACCUCAUUUGUUUUGUGCCAUAAAAUGAUUCUUGAACAUCAUUUACAUACACAAUUUUUAUAUUGGUUAACGAACUAUAAAUUUUUUAUAAGCAAUUUGCAUUAUUUGAUAAAAAAAACCUGUUAACGUACACUAUCAAAUAAAAAUUAUAUACUAUCAACCAACAAUGAGUGUGAAAAUGAUAUUCAAAUUCUGAUUUGCAGAGAUACAUCCACUCUCCUUUUACACGGGUAUUGUCAUCGUCGUACCAAUAAUCCUAUUGGAACCCAAUUAUUCUUUAUCAUCACAUGAUUACCAAGUUAUAUGAACACUUGGGAAUCGUUUUAACUUGCUUGAAUUAUUUCUGUCUGACUAAUAAAUGUAAAGAAUUUACUUUAUUUAAGGCAAGGCCAUUGGGAAAAAAAAACUAUAAGCUCCUUUUUUACCAGUUGCCUUGGUGGCUAAAAAGUAAAUUCGUUGAGUGCGAUUUUGGCAUUGAUCGUUUCGUCCUACCGAAGGAAACUUAGGAAAGGCAAAAAUGUGAGUUCCGAUAGAUUUGCGCUUAAAGAUAGUCUUGUCCUUAACUGAAAAAAGACAUUACCCCACAGCAAAUAAAUUUGUGGCCACUAGCCGCAAAACAAAUUCAUAUGGGUGCAGUGCAGGUAAAGAAAUAACAGAGAAAUUUUCCAUAUUACACGAGAAAUAUACCAUCUGAAUCUGAUAGUGAAAGCCGAGCAUGCUUUUAAUUCUUGUAAGCCAGGCCUAACACGUGCAAGUAAAAUGGUGACCUGCAUUAGCUAUUAAAAGAGACUUAUACUGAUAAUGGCCAUUUUCUGGGGCAGGCAACAAGUAGUACAAAACAAGGCUACGUCAAUUGUCACCUACAUAUAUGAUCCGAGGGGAUCUCCGAAUUUGUGUGGCAAAUCUCUAGAACUUUCAUCUGAAUAUUUGCUUCACUUUUCUCAUUCACAAUUACAAAACAGAGAAGUUAGGACCCUAAGAUUACUGAAUGUGCAAGCUGGCGCCUGUAAGUUGGUUGAACCUUAAUUACAUACCAUGAAAACGACGCAUCGAAGAAAACGAAAACAAAGUGUGGAAUAAAGUUAGACGGGGCUAAUGAAAAAAGACGUACGGCAUUUGAUUUCAACAAAUAGACAUCAGAAAGAUUCAUUAAGUUGUUGUCGAUAUUUUUGGUUGAUCCAAUAAUAUUCAUCUAAAAUAAAUUAGUGCAUAUUUGGGAAUUCGUUCGUUGGACAUGAACGAAAUUUCACCGGAGGAACCCCUUUGUAUCUUUAGAAGCAAACGGAUAUUUGGAGGUGUAAAAGAUUUUCCAAACAUGUAGUUGUUUUGCUUUAGAAUGAUAUUAGGGUUGAGCAACAUUGCCCGAAAUCCACCACAUUCAGUAACCACUUAAUGCCAACUCUAUGCUUGGCCUACUCCUUAAACAUGAUCUUCAAGUCAAUAACCACCUAACAUUUAAUCCUUCAAAUCACGUAACUACUCUUGUUGCAUACAUGUACAUUGCAUAUGAGGGAUGCUUAAUACGAUAUAUAAUUGAUCUACUAAAUCUUAACCAUUCAAAUGUGAUUUAAUUAUUUAUAUUUAUUAUUCUUAUUUAUCAUAAUAAUUAAGAGUUUUCACUUCAUAUUAUCUAUCUACAAUGUUAUAGUUAGAAAUUCUUUUUAUACCUUCAUUUUUUAUAUUUAUUAAAAAAAUAUUUUAAUUGUUAAAUAAUUUAAAUAAUAAUUAUAUAAUAAAGUUAAAAUUAUACAUUUUACUAAAAAUAUUUAAUUUAAAGUUUCUUAUUUUUUGCUUUUUUAUUUGUUUUAGUUAAUAUUUUAUUUAAAAUGUAGUUAAUAAUUUAAUAUUAAUCCAAAAUUAUUGUUACCUUAUUAUUCAUAUAAAUUAAAAUAGAUACAAUACAAAUAUUUCAAAAUAUACUAAAAUAUAAAUCAUUUGAUUAUAUUUUUCUUGUUCAAUUUUGACAAAAUUUGACUCAAUAAUAUAUACAUAUAAUUCAACAAUUAAAUUAAUAAAAAAUCACAUUUUAUACUAAAUUAUAAAAAUCAUGUAAUAAUCAAAAUUAUAACAUAUAGUUUGUUGUUUCUUCGUAUUAAAUAUAUAUAUAAAAGUAAAUUACAAAUGACCUUUUAAAAUAAAUGUGACAUUCAUAUAAUAAAAGAAUCAUGUCACUACCAAUCAAUUUUUAAUCUUAGCCGAGGCCGUUAAACCUAGAAACAAGAAUAGAAUGUUUACCACAAACUCAAGUAGAAUAAAAAAAAUAAAAAUAGAAAGGCAUCCUUGUGUCGGUGCCUACCCUCUUCAAGCAAUCCCAAGGUAAAGCACAACAUGCACGAACACGAAGCAAGGGAGCAAGGAGUACUAAAAUAAUAAUAGUGUCAACAAACAUCAUCAAUUAUAAAGUAAUAAGAGAUUGAAGAAAACAAUGGUAAUAAAUUUAAUUUUAGCCCCCCGACAGGGUCCAAAAAAGACAAUAAAUGAUACAAUAAUACUAUGUAACAGCAGCAAUGAAGCCUCAGCCUCUUCUCUAGAAGAACAAAACAAGGGUAGCCCAGCUCAAGGCUAAGCAUCCAAUGACCUUCUUCAAGCACCUGAUGGUUUCAGCUCCACUCUGUAAAACAGAAACCGUAGAAAUUUAAGAUCCCAACAUUAUUCACUCCUUUAACAUUUUACAUACUAUACUAUGGUGUAAUUAACUUGCUUUGUGACACAGACAUAAUUGACAUCACGACCAAUGCAUGAUACAUUCCGACAGCAACUGAACCCUUUGAUUUUAUUAACAUUUCAUGACUUUUGCUAAUAUCUUGUUGGAUUCUAAAAGAAGGAUUUAUAAUUUGCUCUUCUUCUUUUUUCUUUUUUUUUUCCUUCGAUAAAAGGGACUAAACUAACGAAAUGACCAAAUCUACCUUAACUAAUUCCAUGAUGUUGAAGACAACUAAAAAACCUCAACUGAAGUUAAAGUCAAGUAAGCAUAUCAAUGUCUCAUGUCAAUCCUCAGAUCUGAGAGUACAUUUGUAAAUUGCAGAUCUGACCCAAAUUGCACAAACAGUAAAAGUUAAAAGUAAUAUACUAACCCAACUCAAGUGAGUGAGAGGCACGACCCCUCAAGACUAAGACUGGACAUCUCAAACAUAAAAUUUGCAAUAACUCAACUAUAGACUCUGUUAUUAAUUAUCUUAAAAUUUGAAUUUUAGUUCAACUGAAUCCAAACAUCAGUUCAUACAAUAAGAAUUAUCUGCUACUUAUAUACACCGUUUAGUUUUGAUGAUCUUAGUAGUGAAUGUGAGAUCUUUAAAAGAACACAAGGCGUACCUCGUCCUCAGAUACAGCUGGACCAGGAGACAUGGAAUCCUGGCUUGAUCCCGGAGCUCCUACCGGAGGAGCGGGAGGGCCAAGCAAUGACGGCGACGGUGCUGGUGCAGUGUGCUUCUUACUCUUCUUUGUCUUCUUCUUUGACUUGGGAGCGGGUGCCGGAACCUCAGCGCUGGGUGCUACCACGGGUGCGGGAGUUGUCGGUGCGAGUGCAGGUGGAGAGCUCACCGGAACAGGAGCAGGUGGAGAACUCACCGGAACUGGCGCUGGCGGCGAACUCACUGGAGUCACGGCAGGAGGUGUGGCUGCCGGUGGUGUAGCCGCAGGAGGAGUGGCUGCGGGAGGUGUAGCCACCGGAGCUGGAGCGGCAGCUUUAGACGGAGGAGAUGCUACUGUGGGAGAUGAAGCGGGUGGGGUUGCGGUUGCAGCAUUGGGGGACGAAGCUGGUGGAGAUGAUGACGUGGGAGAAG